rnacentral:lncRNA from 1 species
UCAAUUUCAGAUAUCGAAUCGAAUCAACUUUGUCUAUAUGUUUAUAAGAAAUAAUAUAUGUACGGAUAACUUAGGGUUGGAACAUAGUUUACACACAGAUUAAUAACUUAAAUGGUAACUAAACUAAGGCUUGAUAAUUGAUCGGUCACUAAACAAAAAAAGUAUUCAACAUUUACCCAAUCAUAGUGAGGUAACCCGGUGGUCAUUAUUGUUUUCGGGCAUCCAAUUUCCAUCCAAUUUCCUAGGCAGAGCCAACAUGCCACCUGCCACAUCAAUAAAUUUGCCACAUUAGCCCAAAACCAACCCACCCCCAACCCAAGUUGAGUAGCAACUUAAUCCAUUCGAAAAUGGAAUAUUGAUCAAACCAUUCCCUAGGUAAAAACGAGUGCACUAAUUCACAAUCCAAAACAUUUACAUAAUGAAGCAACGUUGUUUUUAGUUUGUUGUAUGCUUACUUAUUUUCUUAAUUUCUUUCAUUAAAACUUAUUUAUGACAAAAUAACCUUAAACUUCGCCCUUUUUUGUUGCAUUUUCGUAAUCUUCUUCCACAAUCAAAGUAAAUUAUAUGUCAGCAAUCGAAAAGGAAAGUUUUUGAUUUGUUGAAGGGGCUGUUAGAAAGAGAAAUUGUGUCUUGAUCAAAGAUAAUAAUGUCAAUCGAAAAUUAAAACACAAAUGAUAGUGAAGAUAUGAAAGAAAAAUACAAAAUAAACUCAUUUUGGACGGACUCUCAAUUUAAUCAAGCAUUUCAAUCUUUAAUCGCAACCAUUCAAAUUCUUAGUUUUGAUCUGAGGGUAAAAAAAUGUGAUGACAAUUUAGGUACAAAAUUAUAUUUAUUUUCUAGAACUGUCUUCUUAACUCUUAUUCAACAUAAGAGCUUCAGGAAGGAUGUCUACCACUAAUCUCCUCAUUCGACUUCCUUCUCCGCCUUCUUUCGUCGCCAGUCAACCUCCAUUUGCUGCUUUCCUCUUUCAUUGUCAGUCCCCUCGUUUGUGAUCUCCCCCCCUCUCCCGCCGUUUUUGCCCUCUUCCUUCUUUCUCCUCUCUAGAUGUUCUGCAAUUAAAAGUGGUAGUGUAGAUCUAUUAUAGUUUGUGCUUCUAUAAUAAGAACUAAACUUAGAUAAGUGUAGAUAAGUCUAUCUCUGAAUCCAAAUCCGCUCCUAGUUAGCCAUAGAGAGCUCCAAUAUGUUCACACUCUCUCUUCUUGGGUUUUAAUCAGUUUUUUCGAGCUCUACUUUAGUAUAGCCUCCAAAUCUAAUGACUUUGAUGACCUCUAACUGAUUUUGGCGUUGGAGAUAAAUGAAUGCAAUAAAUUUGAAGGUAGAUCUGAGAGACCGACGUGACAACGAUGAUGGCGGCGGCUGAGAUAUAUUAAGAGAAAGCUGAUUAGGGUUGGGAUGAACAUUUUUUUAGAUAAAAGAGAAACAUAUGAUUAACUUUUUACUAAGUUGUGUAACAUGUUACUAAGUUGUGACUGGUGACUAAUUAUUAUAACAUGUUAUAACAAAUAACCUAUUACUAAUUGAUGAGGUUCAGUUUACCACAUUCAUCGCCCUUAUAUAAGUGAUAUUCAUGCAUAGGUUUUGUUCAAGUGUUGGAAGCACGCCUCAGAGUUGAUGAAUGAGAGCGUAAACAAUGUCCUUAAACACUUUGAGUGAGUGUUUUUGGUUUCAUCUUUAAGCCGUUUUUUCUUUCAGAGUAAGUCUAGAUGGGUGGUAUAACAUGCUUGAUGAUGUGUGGCAAGUUGGGAAACUUCUUGUGAGGUAUUUACUUCCUAUGUUGGUUUUCAUUAGAGGUUCACUUGCAUGUUAAGCAAUUUAGGGGUGCUUUGAGGAUUAUGGGGUUGAUUUGGCAUGUUAGUAGUUUGACUCACUUGAAAGUGUUAUCCAUAGCUUUUAUCACCUUUCUUCUUGAGGACAAGCGAAGUUUAAGUGUGGGGUUAUUUGAUGACGUUCAAUUUACCGCAUUCAUCGCCCUCAUUUUAGCGACAUUUCAUGCAUAAUUGUGUAGUUUUGGGUUGACGUUGAGGGUGUUUCUUACAUUUUGAGCUUCUACAUCGUUUUAGUGUCUCGAACCCGUUUGGGGUCCAUUUGAUGUUGUUGUCGGGUUUAUUUAUAGAUUUUAGGUUCACGGCAACAUCGAGGCAUUAAACAAGGAAAAACGACAAGCAUGGGUGAGCUAAGAUCCACCGAAUGGAUGUGAAGAUCAGAAUUGGGGGAGAAGGGUGUAACAUGUGCCAAACAUGUGCUAAUGUGUGGUGCACAUUAGAACAUGCCUUCAACGCAUAUUUCAACAUCGAAGGCCUUUUCUUCUGACCACCAUACAUGCGAAUAGGCACUGAAGAAUGUCAAAAUGUGUGGCACACAUUUCAAUAUGCCUUCAGCGCAUAUUAGCACAUCCAACAACAAUUUGGUUUUCUUUUUAUUUAAAGAUCGAGGAUCCUCCAUUCAAAAGACCGACUUUUUGGACGCAUUACGGAGAUUUUAAAGCAAGAAGAAGGCAAUACUUCAAGGAGCUCGGACUGGACAACAUAAUCGAGAUUGGUGUUUUGAGCAACUGAGUCAUGAUGAAUAACAUUAGGAGCAAUUAUAAUCAUAACCGCAUGGGUAUGGGGAUGGAACUAAUUUUGUCACCAAAAACUCAUUUAGCAUCGGGAAACUCGGCUAUUGACAUAAAUAGUCCCUUAUGUUUAUCAUUUUUUAAAUGUCCUCGAGGCCCUAAUUUAUCAAUUUGGUUCGACUUUACUGUUCCGUCCGUGUCUGUCUAAUCUUUCCGUCCCCUAUGCCACACAGCAAGCAUACCAUGAAGGCAGACAUCCUAGUCAUCACUCAGCAACUCAGAGUAGUGAUUCUCUUAACAGAAAAUCAAGUUGUAACCCGAUUCAACCCGAAAUUCCAACGUCCCCCACACUUCAUCAUCUUCCUCCAGAUCCACCAUCGAUCAACCCACCUCCUCCACCAUCGAUCACAACUCAUUCCAAAACUCUGUCGCUCUCUGUCCCUACUCUCCACUACUUCCUCCCUCUCGUCGGCAGCAUCACUUGGCCUACUUUCGACGUCGACAAUGCCAUCCUCCCGAUCAUCCUCUACACCCCCAGAGAUGUCGUCUUCCUCACCGUCGCCGACUCAACAGACGAGGUUGACCACAUCGCCAGCGACAAAGUUCGCCAAGCUUCUGAUUCCCUCGCUUACAUCCUGGAGUUUCUCGUCACCAAUUCAGCUACCACGAUUCUAUCUAUGUAGAUCACUCUGUUCAAGUCUUCCUGCUCUGUAAUGGUAGAAGCAACAGUAGAAGACAACCUCUUCCAGUCUUCCUCCUCUAUACAGUAUUGAUCUAUUUUAGCAAUGGUGUCGACGUCGAAUCCCCUCUCCCUGGAAACCGAAAAGCUCAUGAAAAUCCCUCCACAUCAGUACCACUUCCAAGAAGAACAUAGUACAAACAAAAAAAAUCCCCAAACAACAACAUUACAAAUCUCACCAAAUCCAUCCUAAUGGCUACAAAUGCUCUCAUCAAAUCUAAACCCGAAAUUCAUCCUGGGAUCUUCAUCCUCUACGGCCUGAACCAAGGAUUCUUUGGCUCCUUCUUCAGAGUCGUCACAGACUACUACUAGAAAGACGUCCAGAAGCUCCAACUUCCACGCUCCAGAUCUACACGGGGUUCUACUACAUCCUCUGCAUUCUAAAGCCCCUUUGGGGCCUCUUCACCGACGUCUUCCUCGUCGGGGGUUAUAACCGGAGGUCGUACUUCGUUUCGGCUCGAGGGUCUUGGGCUCUGUUUCGGCUUUGACCGUGGGUUUGACCAGGGCGGGGAUGCUGGUGGCGGCUAUGAUGAGUUGCUUGGUUGGUGUGAUGGUCGGGAUGGCGAUUGUGGAUGUGACGGUUGAUGCUUGUGUGGUGAGGAAUAAUAUAGUGAGGGAAGAUCAGAGUGCUCAUAUGCAAAGUCAAAUUCAAAUUAUUUGACUGGGUAUUUCGAUUAUGUUUCGGUUAUUUCAGUUAGUUUUCACUCUUUCUAUUAAAUUUAUAUUGAAAUAAUUUUUUUCCAUCUCCUACUUCUCAAGCCGUUGGCAUUUACUUUAUUGAUAGGGCUUUUUUUUCUUAAUUCAAUUUCAUCUUCUAUCUUAUUCUUUGGUUUACUUUACUCUUAUGUUGUUAUUGUUAGAGUUCCUAUAACGAAUCUCGAAAAGCUUUUCGAUAGCGGUGAUUUUUCUCAUGUAUCCAACUCGCAGUCAUCAUUUUAUUUUGAUUUGAAUUACUUUUCUAAUGUCGAGAUCGACCGUCCAAGUUAUAUUUCUAACGAAAUUCCUAUUCAUAAUAUGAGCAAGAGCAUUACUAGUUCGGAAAGGAAGUUGUUGACCUAGUUCUUUUGUUUGGGAAUUCUCGUAAUUCUAAUUAGCAACAUACAUUGAACUAGUUUUUCAAACAAAAAACUCAAGUCAAACCACAUACUACAAGCAUUACAAACUAGUUCAGGCAUUUCAACCAAAUAAGUAAUAACCAAUACAAAUAGAACUAGUUCAAAAUUUCAGUGACACAUGCUAAAUCAGAACUGGGAACAUAACCACACUAGCAGAACUAGUCCAACAACAUCAUAAUAAUGUAUCCCUAACUAGAAGAAACUGCAUUCGCAAUAUGAACGAAUAAACAAGAGCAUAACUAGUUCAUCCAAAAAAUCUGCAAAUCAAAAUCUAUAACUAGCUCAUCCAAACAAUCUGCAAAUAAAAAAACAGAACUAGUUCAUCCAACUAAUCUAUAAAUAAAAAACGAGUACUAGUUAAUCCAACCGGGCUAUCGACAUUAAUAGUCCUCUAAGUUUAGCAUUUUUUAAAUGUCCCAAAAUCGUGUUUUUAGUCAUUUUGGUAUGAGUUGAAAUUUUCCCAACCCGUCGUUCGCGUUUUCCAUCAUAUUUCGUCUUCUUCACCAUGGAGAGAGGAAAAAGACACCACUAAACCCACCAGGUUGUUCACCAAUACUAAUAACCCGACUAUGUACCUUGUUAAUUUCAUUGGAAUCACCAUUAGAGACUUGGUAAUUUCAUCUUCGUCUUCGUCGUCGGCUGGGGGGGGGGGGGGCCCNNNAUCGUCGUCUUCGUCGUCGGCUGUGCCGGCGAUCGACUCGGGGACUGAAAUUAGCCGGUUCUCGCCGGAGGUGUAUGAAGGAGUGAAAGUAUAGUUCAAGAAAUGGAUAUCAAAUUACAAUGAUAUGGGAAAUCAAAUCUUUUGAACAGAGUUGAAGCUCUACAUAUGCUGGGAAAUUAGAGUGAAAUGGAGAGGGAGGAAAGACAUAGAGAGAGAAGGUGGAGGGAAGAUAUAUUUUUUUCUUUUUAAUUUUGAGGUUGUUGAGUGAUGACUGGGAUUAAAAAUAAGUGACGUGUAUGUGUGGCUGUGCCGCGUGGCAAAGAGGACAGAAUAGAACGGAAAACGCUGAUGGGGAGUUGGGAAAAUUUCGACUCAGACCAAAAUGACUAAAAACACGACCUUGAGACAUUUGAAGAAAACGCUAAACUUAGAGGACUAUUAAUGUCGAUAGCCCUAAUCCAACCAAUCUGAAAAUAAAAAAAUCGAACUAGUUCAUCCAACCAAUCUACAAAUAAAAAACAAGUACUGGUUCAUCCAACCAAUCUGCAAAUCAUUCGGUAAAAUUGAACCCCAUGAUCCAUCUUUCGUCGAGGAUUUGCCCAGAUUGGACGACAUCGCCAAUUUAUACAACAAAUGGGAAGACAUACUGCCCCAAGAGACGGAGAAGAAGGAAGGACGGACGUGGUCAGUACAUCACCUGGAUCAGAUUUAGGGGUUUUCUCCCUAUAGUUUGAUGAAUGCUAAUUGGAUUCUCUCAUUACUCUGCCAUCUGCAAACACGAGCGUUUGCCUCUGAUUUUCACAUGGAGGAAAGCUGCUUGGAAUUGCUAUGUGAAUUCGUCGGAUGCUGACUUGGUCGUAGUUCAUCCAAACAAUCUAUAAAUAAAAAGCCAGAGCUAGUUCAUCCAAACAAUAUGCAAAUCAAGAAGCAUGGUUAUAGUAUGAUUAGGUCGGAUUAACGACAGGUUCAAAUCUCCGCCGAGUUAGUUCCAUCAAACCUUCCUGGAACAACAAAUCAAAUGGCGGGUUUCGAAUUUCCUUCCAGCGAUGCCGAAAUUUGAAUCUUCCCAACAAAUCUUUUUUGUGACUGCAUUUUUAGAUCGAAAUCUAGGGUUGUCGAAACACCCAAACUUGUUUGAUUAGGUCGGAGAAAAAAAAAGAGUAAUGAGAAAUCAAACCUGCAAUGACCUAGUGACGGCCAAAAUAAGAUGAAGAAAAGCCGCCGACGAAGGUUUUUGAUGGAGGCUGCGGUCUUUUUUUAUGGGGACGAGGUACAAGAUUUUGGGGGAAAACGGGGGAUAGAGAGAGGUGGGAUGGUAGGGUUUUCACAACAAUUAAAUACUAAAAUUCCAAGCCAUUAGAUG